rnacentral:rRNA from 1 species
GAUGAACGCUGGCGGCGUGCCUAAUACAUGCAAGUCGAGCGAACGGACGAGAAGCUUGCUUCUCUGAUGUUAGCGGCGGACGGGUGAGUAACACGUGGAUAACCUACCUAUAAGACUGGGAUAACUUCGGGAAACCGGAGCUAAUACCGGAUAAUAUUUUGAACCGCAUGGUUCAAAAGUGAAAGACGGUCUUGCUGUCACUUAUAGAUGGAUCCGCGCUGCAUUAGCUAGUUGGUAAGGUAACGGCUUACCAAGGCAACGAUGCAUAGCCGACCUGAGAGGGUGAUCGGCCACACUGGAACUGAGACACGGUCCAGACUCCUACGGGAGGCAGCAGUAGGGAAUCUUCCGCAAUGGGCGAAAGCCUGACGGAGCAACGCCGCGUGAGUGAUGAAGGUCUUCGGAUCGUAAAACUCUGUUAUUAGGGAAGAACAUAUGUGUAAGUAACUGUUGCCAUCUUGACGGUACCUAAUCAGAAAGCCACGGCUAACUACGUGCCACCAGCCGCGGUAAUACUUAGGUGGCAAGCGUUAUCCGGGAAUUAUUGGGCGUAAAGCGCGCGCUAGCGGUUUUUUAAGUCUGAUGUGAAAGCCCACGGCUCAACCGGGGAGGGUCAUUGGAAACUGGAAAACUUGAGUGCAGAAGAGGAAAGUGGAAUUCCAUGUGUAGCGGUGAAAUGCGCAGAGAUAUGGAGGAACACCAGUGGCGAAGGCGACUUUCUGGUCUGUAACUGACGCUGAUGUGCGAAAGCGUGGGGAUCAAACAGGAUUAGAUACCCUGGUAGUCCACGCCGUAAACGAUGAGUGCUAAGUGUUAGGGGGUUUCCGCCCCUUAGUGCUGCAGCUAACGCAUUAAGCGCUCCGCCUGGGGAGUACGACCGCAAGGUUGAAACUCAAAGGAAUUGACGGGGACCCGCACAAGCGGUGGAGCAUGUGGUUUAAUUCGAAGCAACGCGAAGAACCUUACCAAAUCUUGACAUCCUUUGACAACUCUAGAGAUAGAGCUUUCCCCUUCGGGGGACAAAGUGACAGGUGGUGCAUGGUUGUCGUCAGCUCGUGUCGUGAGAUGUUGGGUUAAGUCCCGCAACGAGCGCAACCCUUAAGCUUAGUUGCCAUCAUUAAGUUGGGCACUCUAAGUUGACUGCCGGUGACAAACCGGAGGAAGGUGGGGAUGACGUCAAAUCAUCAUGCCCCUUAUGAUUUGGGCUACACACGUGCUACAAUGGACAAUACAAAGGGCAGCGAAACCGUGAGGUCAAGCAAAUCCCAUAAAGUUGUUCUCAGUUCGGAUUGUAGUCUGCAACUCGACUACAUGAAGCUGGAAUCGCUAGUAAUCGUAGAUCAGCAUGCUACGGUGAAUACGUUCCCGGGUCU